rnacentral:rRNA from 1 species
UACGUAGGUUCCGAGCGUUAUCCGGAUUUACUGGGCGUAAAGCGCGUUCAGGCGGUUUGGCAAGUCGGGCAUGAAAUCUCUCGGCUCAACCGGGAGAGGUUGUUCGAUACUGCUGGACUUGAGGGCAGUAGAGGGUGGUGGAAUUCCGGGUGUAGUGGUGAAAUGCGUAGAUAUCCGGAGGAACACCUGCGGCGAAGGCGGGUUGCUGGGCUGACACUGACGCUGAUGUGCGAAAGCUAGGGGAGCGAACGGG